rnacentral:rRNA from 1 species
AGUGAACGCUGGCGGUAGGCCUAACACAUGCAAGUCGAACGGCAGCACAGUAAGAGCUUGCUCUUACGGGUGGCGAGUGGCGGACGGGUGAGGAAUACAUCGGAAUCUACUUUUUCGUGGGGGAUAACGUAGGGAAACUUACGCUAAUACCGCAUACGACCUACGGGUGAAAGCAGGGGAUCUUCGGACCUUGCGCGAUUGAAUGAGCCGAUGUCGGAUUAGCUAGUUGGCGGGGUAAAGGCCCACCAAGGCGACGAUCCGUAGCUGGUCUGAGGGGAUGAUCAGCCACACUGGAACUGGGACACGGUCCAGACUCCUACGGGAGGCAAGAGUGGGGAAUAUUGGACCAUGGGCGGAAACCUUGACCAGGCAUACCGCGGGGGUUAAAGAGGCCUUCGGGUUGGUAAACCCUUUUUGUGGGGAAGAAAAGCAGCAAGUUAAAACCCCGCUGUUCUGACGGUACCCAAAAGAUAAGCACCGGCUAACUUCGUG